GCCAUUAGCCAGAUAACCCCACAAACCAUUUUUCAUCGCGGCGGCAGAGAGAGCUACAAGGAGGUGCAGGCGGCUGGAACGAGCGCCUCCAAGAGGGGGAGGCCCCGAGCUCACGUGUCUCCACCUGCAAGAGCCGGAAAUGACCAACUCCUGGGGCAGGUGGAGCAGGGAAGCGCCUUCCAAGCGGUGGGAAGAGCCGGAAGGGGCUGCCUGUUGACGAAGCAGGAAGGAAGGUCGGUUUGGCCGGCAGAGGGCCAUGGGAGGACAAAGGGUCGCGGGGAAGCUGGCAGGCAGGUGAGACCUGGCGGGCCUGGCUCACACCUGUCCGCCUCCGGUGGCCAGGACGGGACAGGUCAGGAGGCAGGGGGGCGGCUCCAACGCCUCUGGCGUCCCAGCUGCCGCAGAUCGGGGCUGGGGCUGCGCCUGCGCCAGGCCGGCGGGAGGGGGCGGGAGGCGGCGUGCCGGGCCCCGGGUCCCUGACGUCAACGUUACCAUGGAGACCCCCGCUUCCCUCGGCGCGCGUCGCAGCUGCCGCAGACCCCGGGGCUGGGAAGGCUCUGCAGGGUUGAGGGGAGCAGCAAGUGCGGGCCUGGGUCCCGCCGCUGCGCCCCAGAGCACCGCCCAGCGAGAGGGCGGGGUACCGAGACCCCCCGAGGGGCUCCCCGCUGCCCUCCAGCCUGCCCCCACCCCCGUCGCCCGGACUGGGAGCGACAGUCCGGGAGUGCCUCGGCCAGAAAUCAGCCCAGGGUCCUGCAUGGCCCUCCCCACGGUAACACACCCAAGGGGGCACGUCCCUCCGCCCGCGCCUCCCACUCCCUGCCCCACUGUGUUGGGCGCCCUGCCGCUUCCUUCCUUCGAGGAGCACGUAGGGCGCCCCCCCUCGGUCCCCAGCGCUCGCCGUCGGCGGGGACCCAGCGAGGGAGAAGGGGCGUCCUAACACCGCCGCCCGCCUGCUGGCGCCGCCCUCCCUGGAGCUCACGUAGGAAACGGUGUUUUCUUUGUCUCUAGACCUCGUUCAGUCGAAUCUCUCCAGGUUCUUAAAGACGCCUUCAGGAACAGACUGGCCAGGCUGGCUGACUUCAGCCUCGCCUCCACCUGCUCUUCGUGCCUCUUCUCUUUUCCGAGCUCCUUCCUCCUCCGCGGGAGUGAAAGGAAGGGACGCCCGUCCUGCGCUUCCCGGGUCUUGCCCUUGUCCUUGUUUGCCCGCUGCUGCUUCCCUGUUGUGGCCUAGAUGAGAAAACAGAGGCGCUAGCGUGUCAGGUAAACCCUGAGGGAUAAGAAGAGAUUCAUCUGGAAAAAGGUAUGUGUGGGGUGGGGAGGGCCCAAGGCUGUCUGAUGAUGGUCUCAGGGAGGAGACAGGCCUCUGCCACACAGAAGGAAACCGGCCUUUCUGUAGCUGCUCCACUUGGCCUCCAGAAAAGCCCAAAUCUUCCUGUCACAACCAGCCCCAGGGGCAGGAGGCGCUGCUGUCCCCAGACUGCCGAGCCCCAAGCUGAUGGCCCUCUGAGUCACAGCCAGCAGCUUUAGCAUUUGCCCUCGGGGGUGGGGGAUGGGGGGGGAGGGUAGGUGGAGCUGGAGAGAACUGGAGACACGGAACCAGGUUUUUCUAUCAGGCAGGCCUGAAGGGUUUGUGGGAGGAAAUGAGGAAAAAAAUGAGGCCGGAUGGACUCGGGUGGGGAAGCUACUUUGAGGGAGGUGGCCACCCUCCUGGCCAACUCGCCAAGUCCCCUGGCCUGUCUCAGCAAGUGCCAUGGGCUUGAUGCUGAGAAAAUGUUUGAUCAUUCAUCUGACAGGGAUCUCCUUUGUGCUGGGCCCUGUGUCCUGUGAUGGGUGGGUGGGGAGGUGGUUGUGGAAAGGGCUGAGCGGAUGAUUCUGUGACUCCUAAUUGGAUGCAUUAAUUACCUACCACUGCGUAACAAAUCACCCCAAAUGCAGCGACUGGAAAGGAGCGUGUUUGUUUCUGCGGCUCAGGAACUCCGGAGUGACUCAGCUGGGUCGUUCCGGCUCACGGCUCGGUCCCAUAUGGCGGCCAUCAAGAUGUCAGCCGAGGCCGUGGCCUUGUUUGAAAGCUCUGCUGGGCUGGAGGACCCCCUUGUGUGACAGUGCCCCACACCGCUUCUGGCGGGAGGCCUCAGUUUCUCCUCACACGGUUGUCCAGAAGGCUCCUUGAGUGUUGUUUUAUGCAGCUCCCCCUAGGAGAGAGAAUGUACAAGCAGGGAAGGGGCAGGGAGAGAAGGGGACAGAGGAUCUGUGCUGCCAGCACAGAGCCCGAUGCGGGAUUCCAACUCAUGAACCGCGAGAUCGUGACCCGAGCGGAAGUUGGAUGCUUAACUGGCUGAACCGCCCAGGCGCCCCUGUUGUGUGGAAUGCUCUUAAACUUUAAGCGUGACGUUUAUGUUUCCGCUACAUUAUUUUUUUAUUGUAGUAAAAUGUGCAUAACGUAAAAUGGACCGUUUUAGCCGUUUUUGAGUGUGCACUUGGGUGGCAAGAAGUACAUUCACGUUAUGGUGCAACCGUCACCUCCAGAAAUGUUCACCUUCCCGAACUGAAACUGCACCCCUUAAACGCUGACUCCCCACCCUCCCGCCUCCAGCCCAUAGUGACCCCCGCUUUCUGUCUUUAUGAAUUCAACUACUCUAGACCUCAGAGGGCUCCCUUGUGUCUGGCUUGACCCAGCACAGUGACUUCCAGAGCUCAUGCACGCGGUACGCGUCUCAGGGUGUCAUUCCCCUCAUGGCCGAAUAGCAUUUCAUUGUACGGACCACACUGUGUUUAUCCGUCGUUCGGCGGUGGACAUUGGGCUGGUUUUCACGCUGGUAUUUUUAAGGCUCCGGAGUGAUACUCAUGACCCAUCAGGGAUGAAAAUCGAGGUCUUAGACCAGUGGUUUUUAAGCCUGGCUGAGCAUCCAAAUCACCUGGUAGCUGUUAAAAAAACAAGCCAAUGCCUGGUGAGCAUCACAGACCUGCAGACCAGCUGAACUGGAUUCUCUGGAAGGGGACCCCGGAGUCUGCAAGAAUCUGCAGUUACUUCCAGAAGGCCAGGGUGUGAAGACUCAUUUCCAGGUCUCUGCUGCCCCCUGGUGGCAGCACCUGGGAUCGUCUGCAGCACUGGCUUGCCCUCCCCGUAAGGAGCCCAAGAGCCAGUCGCCAGAGCCAUUCCUUGGGGGGUCUGGGGACCCUGCGGGGCUCUCCCUGCCUAUCCUCCCCCACUGUACUUCCUGGUUUCAGAUGAGCCUAUUAGGAGAAAGGCACAGACAGGCGGAGGACUCCGCUUUGGUCCUUGCCAGUUAUAUGACCUUGAAC